rnacentral:misc_RNA from 1 species
UCCGGUUUAACACCGGCAGUCUCCCUAGAGUCCCCAACUUAAUGGUGGUAACUAAGGAUAGGGGUUGCGCUCGUUGCCGGACUUAACCGAACAUUUCACAACACGAGCUGACGACAGCCAUGCAGCACCUGUCACCGUGUCCCCGAAGGGAAAGCCCUAUCUCUAGGGUUGUCACGGGAUGUCAAGGCCAGGUAAGGUUCUUCGCGUUGCUUCGAAUUAAACCACAUACUCCACCGCUUGUGCGGGCCCCCGUCAAUUCCUUUGAGUUUUAGCCUUGCGACCGUACUCCCCAGGCGGGAUACUUAAUGCGUGAACUGCGGCACUCAGAGGGUUAACUCUCCGAACGCCUAGUAUCCAUCGUUUACGGCGUGGACUAC